rnacentral:rRNA from 1 species
UAGGGAAUCUUCGGCAAUGGGGGCAACCCUGACCGAGCAACGCCGCGUGAGUGAAGAAGGUUUUCGGAUCGUAAAGCUCUGUUGUAAGAGAAGAACGUGUGUGAGAGUGGAAAGUUCANACAGUGACGGUAACUUACCAGAAAGGGACGGCUAACUACGUGCCAG